rnacentral:rRNA from 1 species
GACGUAGGGCGCGAGCGUUGUCCGGAUUUAUUGGGCGUAAAGAGCUCGUAGGCGGCUUGUCGCGUCGUCCGUGAAAACCCACAGCUCAACUGUGGGCUUGCGGUCGAUACGGGCAGGCUAGAGUUCGGUAGGGGAGACUGGAAUUCCUGGUGUAGCGGUGAAAUGCGCAGAUAUCAGGAGGAACACCGGUGGCGAAGGCGGCCAUCUGGACGGAUACUGACGCUGGAGACGCGAAAGCGUGGGGAGCAAACAGG